rnacentral:rRNA from 1 species
GGUGAGUAACACGUGGAUAACCUACCUAUAAGACUGGGAUAACUUCGGGAAACCGGAGCUAAUACCGGAUAAUAUUUUGAACCGCAUGGUUCAAAAGUGAAAGACGGUCUUGCUGUCACUUAUAGAUGGAUCCGCGCUGCAUUAGCUAGUUGGUAAGGUAACGGCUUACCAAGGCAACGAUGCAUAGCAGACCUGAGAGGGUGAUCGGCCACACUGGAACUGAGACACGGUCCAG